AACGAACGCUGGCGGCAUGCCUAACACAUGCAAGUCGAACGAGACCUUCGGGUCUAGUGGCGCACGGGUGCGUAACGCGUGGGAACCUGCCCUUAGGUUCGGAAUAACUCCCCGAAAGGGGUGCUAAUACCGGAUAAUGUCUUCGGCCCAAAGAUUUAUCGCCUUUGGAUGGGCCCGCGUUGGAUUAGCUAGUUGGUAGGGUAAAAGCCUACCAAGGCGACGAUCCAUAGCUGGUCUGAGAGGAUGAUCAGCCACACUGGGACUGAGACACGGCCCAGACUCCUAGGGGAGGCAGCAGUGGGGAAUAUUGGACAAUGGGCGAAAGCCUGAGCCAGCAAUGCCGCGUGAGUGAUGAAGGCCUUAGGGUUGUAAAGCUCUUUUACCCGGGAUGAUAAUGACAGUACCGGGAGAAUAAGCGCCGGCUAACUACGUG
rnacentral:rRNA from 1 species